rnacentral:rRNA from 1 species
GAGGUGCAAGCUUCUGGUCUAAGCCCCCGUGAAUGUCGGCCGUAACUAUAACGGUCCUAAGGUAGCGAAAUUCCUUGUCGGGUAAGUUCCGACCUGCACGAAUCGUGUAACGAGUUGGGUGCUGUCUCCGAGAGAUGCUCAGUGAAAUUGUAGUCGCGGUCAAGAUGCCGCGUUCCCGCAGCAGGACGGAAAGACCCUAUGGACCUUUACUGUGUAACCUGGUAUUGUUGUCUGGCUUUUGAUGCGUAGAAUAGGUGGGAGACUUUGAUCCGAUACUUCAGGGUAUCGGGGAGUCGUCGGUGAAAUACCACUCUUCGUUUGUUAGGCCACUAACUUUGACUCAUCAUCUGGGCAAAGGACAGUGCUAGGGGGUCAGUUUGACUGGGGCGGUCUCCUCCGAAAAGGUAACGGAGGAUUACGAAGGUUUCCUCAUGCCGGUUGGCAAUCGGCAAUUGAGCGCAUGAGUAUAAGGAAGCUUUACUGCGAGACCAACAAGUCGAGCAGUUGCGAAAGCAGGUUCAAGUGAUCCGGUGGUUUGGAGUGGAACUACCAUCGCUUAAAGGAUAAAAGGUACCCUAGGGAUAACAGGCUGAUAGCGCCCAAGCGUUCAUAGCGACGGCGCUGUUUGGCACCUCGAUGUCGGCUCGUCUCAUCCUGGGGCUGGAGAAGGUCCCAAGGGUUUGGCUGUUCGCCAAUUAAAGAGGCACGUGAGCUGGGUUCAAAACGUCGUGAGACAGUUUGGUCCUCUAUCCGCUGUGGGCGUUGGAAAUUUGAGGGAUUCAUUUCUUAGUACGAGAGGACCGGAAAUGACGAACCUCUGGUGUUCCGGUUAUUGUGUCAGCAGUAGCGCCGGGUAGCUAAGUUCGGACUGGAUAAGCGCUGAAAGCAUCUAAGCGCCAAGCCAUUCCCAAGAUAAGAUUUCCAUGGAGGGUAACCUCCUGAAGAGUCCUGGCAGACCACCAGGUUGAUAGGUCGGAUGUGUAAGUGCAGUAAUGUAUUAAGCUAACCGAUACUAAUGACUCGAAAGUUUUUCUUCU